UAAGUUAGAAAGGGCGCACGGUGGAUGCCUUGACACUAGGAGUCGAUGAAGGACGGGACUAACGCCGAUAUGCUUCGGGGAGCUGUAAGUAAGCUUUGAUCCGAAGAUUUCCGAAUGGGGAAACCCACUAUACGUAAUGGUAUGGUAUCCUUAUCUGAAUACAUAGGGUAAGGAAGACAGACCCAGGGAACUGAAACAUCUAAGUACCUGGAGGAAGAGAAAGCAAAUGCGAUUUCCUGAGUAGCGGCGAGCGAAACGGAACAUAGCCCAAACCAAGAGGCUUGCCUCUUGGGGUUGUAGGACAUUCUAUACGGAGUUACAAAGGAACGAGGUAGACGAAGCGACCUGGAAAGGUCCGUCGUAGAGGGUAACAACCCCGUAGUCGAAACUUCGUUCUCUCUUGAAUGUAUCCUGAGUACGGCGGAACACGUGAAAUUCCGUCGGAAUCUGGGAGGACCAUCUCCCAAGGCUAAAUACUCCCUAGUGAUCGAUAGUGAACCAGUACCGUGAGGGAAAGGUGAAAAGCACCCCGGAAGGGGAGUGAAAGAGAUCCUGAAACCGUGUGCCUACAAAUAGUCAGAGCCCGUUAACGGGUGAUGGCGUGCCUUUUGUAGAAUGAACCGGCGAGUUACGAUCCCGUGCGAGGUUAAGCUGAAGAGGCGGAGCCGCAGCGAAAGCGAGUCUGAAUAGGGCGUUUAGUACGUGGUCGUAGACCCGAAACCAGGUGAUCUACCCAUGUCCAGGGUGAAGUUCAGGUAACACUGAAUGGAGGCCCGAACCCACGCACGUUGAAAAGUGCGGGGAUGAGGUGUGGGUAGCGGAGAAAUUCCAAUCGAACCUGGAGAUAGCUGGUUCUCCCCGAAAUAGCUUUAGGGCUAGCCUUAAGUGUAAGAGUCUUGGAGGUAGAGCACUGAUUGGACUAGGGGUCCUCAUCGGAUUACCGAAUUCAGUCAAACUCCGAAUGCCAAUGACUUAUCCUUAGGAGUCAGACUGCGAGUGAUAAGAUCCGUAGUCAAAAGGGAAACAGCCCAGACCGCCAGCUAAGGUCCCAAAGUGUGUAUUAAGUGGAAAAGGAUGUGGAGUUGCUUAGACAACUAGGAUGUUGGCUUAGAAGCAGCCACCAUUUAAAGAGUGCGUAAUAGCUCACUAGUCGAGUGACUCUGCGCCGAAAAUGUACCGGGGCUAAAUACACCACCGAAGCUGCGGAUUGAUACCAAUGGUAUCAGUGGUAGGGGAGCGUUCUAAGGACAGUGAAGUCAGACCGGAAGGACUGGUGGAGUGCUUAGAAGUGAGAAUGCCGGUAUGAGUAGCGAAAGACGGGUGAGAAUCCCGUCCACCGAAUGCCUAAGGUUUCCUGAGGAAGGCUCGUCCGCUCAGGGUUAGUCAGGACCUAAGCCGAGGCCGACAGGCGUAGGCGAUGGACAACAGGUUGAUAUUCCUGUACCACCUCUUUAUCGUUUGAGCAAUGGAGGGACGCAGAAGGAUAGAAGAAGCGUGCGAUUGGUUGUGCACGUCCAAGCAGUUAGGCUGAUAAGUAGGCAAAUCCGCUUAUCGUGAAGGCUGAGCUGUGAUGGGGAAGCUCCUUAUGGAGCGAAGUCUUUGAUUCCCCGCUGCCAAGAAAAGCUUCUAGCGAGAUAAAAGGUGCCUGUACCGCAAACCGACACAGGUAGGCGAGGAGAGAAUCCUAAGGUGUGCGAGAGAACUCUGGUUAAGGAACUCGGCAAAAUGACCCCGUAACUUCGGGAGAAGGGGUGCUUUCUUAACGGAAAGCCGCAGUGAAUAGGCCCAAGCGACUGUUUAGCAAAAACACAGCUCUCUGCGAAGCCGUAAGGCGAAGUAUAGGGGGUGACACCUGCCCGGUGCUGGAAGGUUAAGGAGAGGGGUUAGCGUAAGCGAAGCUCUGAACUGAAGCCCCAGUAAACGGCGGCCGUAACUAUAACGGUCCUAAGGUAGCGAAAUUCCUUGUCGGGUAAGUUCCGACCCGCACGAAAGGUGUAACGAUUUGGGCACUGUCUCAACCAGAGACUCGGUGAAAUUAUAGUACCUGUGAAGAUGCAGGUUACCCGCGACAGGACGGAAAGACCCCGUGGAGCUUUACUGUAGCCUGAUAUUGAAUUUUGGUACAGUUUGUACAGGAUAGGCGGGAGCCUUUGAAACCGGAGCGCUAGCUUCGGUGGAGGCGCUGGUGGGAUACCGCCCUGACUGUAUUGAAAUUCUAACCUACGGGUCUUAUCGACCCGGGAGACAGUGUCAGGUGGGCAGUUUGACUGGGGCGGUCGCCUCCUAAAGUGUAACGGAGGCGCCCAAAGGUUCCCUCAGAAUGGUUGGAAAUCAUUCGUAGAGUGCAAAGGCAUAAGGGAGCUUGACUGCGAGACCUACAAGUCGAGCAGGGACGAAAGUCGGGCUUAGUGAUCCGGUGGUUCCGCAUGGAAGGGCCAUCGCUCAACGGAUAAAAGCUACCCCGGGGAUAACAGGCUUAUCUCCCCCAAGAGUCCACAUCGACGGGGAGGUUUGGCACCUCGAUGUCGGCUCAUCGCAUCCUGGGGCUGUAGUCGGUCCCAAGGGUUGGGCUGUUCGCCCAUUAAAGCGGUACGCGAGCUGGGUUCAGAACGUCGUGAGACAGUUCGGUCCCUAUCCGUCGUGGGCGUAGGAAAUUUGAGAGGAGCUGUCCUUAGUACGAGAGGACCGGGAUGGACGCACCGCUGGUGUACCAGUUGUUCUGCCAAGGGCAUAGCUGGGUAGCUAUGUGCGGAAGGGAUAAGUGCUGAAAGCAUCUAAGCAUGAAGCCCCCCUCAAGAUGAGAUUUCCCAUAGCGUAAGCUAGUAAGAUCCCUGAAAGAUGAUCAGGUUGAUAGGUUCGAGGUGGAAGCAUGGUGACAUGUGGAGCUGACGAAUACUAAUAGAUCGAGGACUUAACCA
rnacentral:rRNA from 1 species